GCCCAGAGCCAUAUCACCCUGUAGCUCUCACUUGGUUUCCCAUUGAAGCUAAGUGGUGUUGAGCCUGGCUAGUAUCUGGAUGGCAGACCUCCUGGGCAAAACUAAGGUUGAUGUUGCAA
rnacentral:rRNA from 1 species